AACUGCGCCGUGUCGGCAAGUAGAAAUACACCGGAGCUUUGCGUUUAGGCUUGAACAGCACGUAGCGCAGUUUU
ncrna:unclassified sequences c4-2 RNA